GCCCAGCUGGCUCAGUUGGUAGGGCAUGCAACUCUUGAUCUCAGGGUUGUGAGUUUGAGUCCCACACUGGGCA
rnacentral:tRNA from 1 species